GUGUCUCCACCAUCCCCCAGCCCUAACCAGAGUUACCAGGGCAGCAGCGGCUACAACUUCCGGCCCACAGAUGCCCGCUGCCUGCCCAGGUCAGUGCUCCUCUGCCCCUCCCCCACAAAAUAUGCUCCCAGUUAUUCACAUCUUCUGGACUUUAUCACCCAGAAUUCUUUUCCCUCUCCCCCUUGGCUACCCACUUCUUGGCCUAGACCGACUUCUAGAACUAGUGUCUGGUAGCCAGUAUUUUGGGGAAGGGAGUCCCUUGGGGGUAGUGUUUGAGCUCUGCACUUCCCAGGGGGAGAAGGUCCUGUUCCCCUGCUUCAGGUCCUGACUUUCCCCACUCCAACCCCAGCAGCCCCAUCCGGAUGUUUGCUUCCUUCCACCCUUCUGCCAGCACCGCAGGGACCUCUGGGGACGGUGAACCCCCAGACAGGUCACCCCUGGAACUUCACAUUGGUUUCCCCACAGACAUCCCUAAAAGUGCCCCCCACUCGAUGACUGCCUCAUCUUCCUCAGUCUCAUCCCCAUCCCCAGGUCUUCCUAGACGCUCAGCACCCCCUUCUCCCCUGUGCCGUAGUUUGUCUCCUGGGACUGGGGGAGGAGUCCGAGGUGGGGUUGGUUACCUGUCCCGAGGGGACCCUGUCCGGGUCCUUGCUCGGAGAGUACGGCCUGAUGGCUCUGUGCAGUACUUGGUUGAGUGGGGAGGAGGGGGCAUCUUCUGAACAGCCUGCCUCUGCCCAGCUCCCCAUUCACACACACCGGCACUUUCAUACCCUGACCUCUGACCUCACCUACAGCUGGGAUGUACCUGGAGAGAUAGGGGGUAGUUCUCCCUACUGCCCAGGCUGGAAUCCAAGAGUGGGGGGUGGGGAAGAGACACUCUUCUCUACCCUCCUUCAUGAUUCCUGACCCCUCCCAUCCUUCCCAUUUCCUUUG
rnacentral:sRNA from 1 species